rnacentral:rRNA from 1 species
GGGCUCGCAGGCGGUUUCUUAAGUCUGAUGUGAAAGCCCCCGGCUCAACCGGGGAGGGUCAUUGGAAACUGGGGAACUUGAGUGCAGAAGAGGAGAGUGGAAUUCCACGUGUAGCGGUGAAAUGCGUAGAGAUGUGGAGGAACACCAGUGGCGAAGGCGACUCUCUGGUCUGUAACUGACGCUGAGGAGCGAAAGCGUGGGGAGCGAACAGGAUUAGAUACCCUGGUAGUCCACGCCGUAAACGAUGAGUGCUAAGUGUUAGGGGGUUUCCGCCCCUUAGUGCUGCAGCUAACGCAUUAAGCACUCCGCCUGGGGAGUACGGUCGCAAGACUGAAACUCAAAGGAAUUGACGGGGGCCCGCACAAGCGGUGGAGCAUGUGGUUUAAUUCGAAGCAACGCGAAGAACCUUACCAGGUCUUGACAUCCUCUGACAAUCCUAGAGAUAGGACGUCCCCUUCGGGGGCAGAGUGACAGGUGGUGCAUGGUUGUCGUCAGCUCGUGUCGUGAGAUGUUGGGUUAAGUCCCGCAACGAGCGCAACCCUUGAUCUUAGUUGCCAGCAUUCAGUUGGGCACUCUAAGGUGACUGCCGGUGACAAACCGGAGGAAGGUGGGGAUGACGU